rnacentral:rRNA from 1 species
CCUACGGGAGGCAGCAGUGGGGGAUAUUGCACAAUGGGGGGAACCCUGAUGCAGCGAAGCCGCGUGGGGGAAGAAGCGCCUCGGCGCGUAAAGCCCUGUCAGCAGGGGAGAAAAUGACGGUACCUGAAGAAGAAGCCACGGCUAACUACGUGCCAGGAGCCGAGGUAAUACGGAGGGGGCAAGCGUUAUACGGAGUUAGUGGGGGUUAAGGGGGCCCAGGCGGGGAUGCAAGCCCGGCGUGAAAGCCCGGGGCCCAACCCCGGGAGUGCGCUUGGAAAUGCGUGGCUGGAGUGCAGGAGGGGCAGGCGGAAUUCGUGGUGUAGCGGUGAAAUGCGUAGAUAUCAGGAGGAACUCCAGUGGCGAAGGCAGCCUGCUGGCCUGCAACUGACGUUGAGGCCCGAAAGCGUGGGGAGCGAACAGGAUUAGAUACCCUAGUAGUC